rnacentral:rRNA from 1 species
CCUACGGGUGGCAGCAGUAGGGAAUAUUGCUCAAUGGGGGAAACCCUGAAGCAGCAACGCCGCGUGGAGGAUGAAGGUUUUCGGAUUGUAAACUUCUUUUUUUAGAGAAGAUAAUGACGGUAUCUAACGAAUAAGCACCGGCGAACGUCGUGCCCGCACCCGCGGUAAUACGGAGGGUGCAAGCGUUACUCGGAAUCACUGGGCGUAAAGCGCGCGUAUGCGGGAUAGCAAGUCAGAUGUUAAAUACUAUGGCUUAACCAUAGAACUGAAUUUGAAACUGUUAUUCUAGAGUAUAGGUGAGGUAGGUGGAAUUCGUGGGGUAGCGGUGAAAUCCGUAGAGAUCAAGAGGAA